GACAUGGGAAGCUUGCUUCCUAUGAAAUCGAGUGGCAAACGGGUGAGUAACGCGUAAACAACCUGCCCUUCGGAUGGGGAUAACAGCCGGAAACGGCUGCUAAUACCGAAUACGAUCUUUUCGUCGCAUGACGGAAAGAAGAAAGGAUGGCCUCUAUACAAAGCUAUCGCCGAAGGAGGGGUUUGCGUCUGAUUAGCUGGUUGGAGGGGUAACGGCCCAACAAGGCGAUGAUCAGUAGCCUGUCUGAGAGGAUGAACGGCCACAUUGGGACUGAGACACGGCCCAGACUCCUACGGGAGGCAGCAGUGGGGAAUCUUCCGCAAUGGACGAAAGUCUGACGGAGCAACGCCGCGUGAGUGAAGAAGGUCUUCGGAUUGUAAAGCUCUGUUAUACGGGACGAAAAAGACGGAUGCCAACAGUAUCCGUCCGUGACGGUACC
rnacentral:rRNA from 1 species